GACGAACGCUGGCGGCGUGCUUAACACAUGCAAGUCGAACGGAAAGGCCCUGCUUUUGUGGGGUGCUCGAGUGGCGAACGGGUGAGUAACACGUGAGUAACCUGCCCUUGACUUUGGGAUAACUUCAGGAAACUGGGGCUAAUACCGGAUAGGAGCUCCUGCUGCAUGGUGGGGGUUGGAAAGUUUCGGCGGUUGGGGAUGGACUCGCGGCUUAUCAGCUUGUUGGUGGGGUAGUGGCUUACCAAGGCUUUGACGGGUAGCCGGCCUGGGCGGGUGACCGGCCACCUUGGGACUGAGAUACGGCCCAGACUCCUACGGGAGGCAGCAGUGGGGAAUAUUGCACAAUGGGCGGAAGCCUGAUGCAGCAACGCCGCGUGCGGGAUGACGUCCUUCGGGUUGUAAACCGCUUUCGCCUGUGACGAAGCGUGAGUGACGGUAAUGGGUAAAGAAGCACCGGCUAACUACGUG
rnacentral:rRNA from 1 species